rnacentral:rRNA from 1 species
UAGAGCUAAUACAGGCUAAAAAUCCCGACUUCGGAAGGGAUGUAUUUAUUAGAUUCAAAACCAAUGCCCUCUGGGCUCCUUGGUGAUUCAUGAUAACUCUUCGAAUCGCACGGCCUUGCGCCGGCGAUGGUUCAUUCAAAUUUCUUCCCUAUCAACUUUCGAUGUUUGGGUAUUGGCCAAACAUGGUCGCAACGGGUAACGGAGGGUUAGGGCUCGACCCCGGAGAAGGAGCCUGAGAAACGGCUACUACAUCCAAGGAAGGCAGCAGGCGCGCAAAUUACCCAAUCCCGAUUCGGGGAGGUAGUGACAAUAAAUACUGAUACAGGGCUCUUUUGGGUCUUGUAAUUGGAAUGAGUACAAUUUAAAUCUCUUAACGAGGAACAAUUGGAGGGCAAGUCUGGUGCCAGCAGCCGCGGUAAUUCCAGCUCCAAUAGCGUAUAUUAAAGUUGUUGUGGUUAAAAAGCUCGUAGUUGAACCUUGGGCCUGGCUGGCCGGUCCGCCUCACCGCGUGCACUGGUCCGGCCGGGCCUUUCCCUCUGUGGAACCUCAUGCCCUUCACUGGGCGUGGCGGGGAAACAGGACUUUUACUUUGAAAAAAUUAGAGUGCUUCAGGCAGGCCUAUGCUCGGAUACAUUAGCAUGGAAUAAUGAAAUAGGACGUGUGGUUCUAUUUUGUUGGUUUCUAGGACCGCCGUAAUGAUUAAUAGGGACAGUCGGGGGCAUCAGUAUUCAAUUGUCAGAGGUGAAAUUCUUGGAUUUAUUGAAGACUAACUACUGCGAAAGCAUUUGCCAAGGAUGUUUUCAUUAAUCAGGAACGAAAGUUAGGGGAUCGAAGACGAUCAGAUACCGUCGUAGUCUUAACCAUAAACUAUGCCGACUAGGGAUCGGACGAUGUUAUUUUUUGACGCGUUCGGCACCUUACGAAAAAUCAAAGUG